rnacentral:ncRNA from 1 species
AUAAACGCGAUGACACGGAAUAGUAAGCGUUGAUACCCUUUCAGAGAAGUGCCGGGAGCUGCGAGGCAUCAAGGAGAUUCAGCGACGAACUCACCGUUGAGCGGCUGCGCUGAAAAGCCUUUCGGAAAAUAGGUGCGGACGGGACGCUGCCGUUAAAAAGCAGGGAUAUGUCAGUAUCCCCUAAGUGCAUUCCCCGGAUGAAUGAAUAAGAGUGGUACCGCGGAAGGUUUUACCCUUUCGUCUCUUAU